ensembl:misc_RNA 7SK 7SK RNA
GGAUGUGCGAGCUAUCUGGUUGCGAAAACUGUCACCCAUUGAUCGCCAAGGGUAAUUCUGCUGGUUAGGCCAGUGCCCCCUUCCUCCCUUUCUCCUUAAUGAUUCAUCUGAGUCCCAUCCCCCAAAGCUGUACUCUUGGUGGAAGAGGAUGACCACUCCUGAUAGAGGAGGACAGUUCCUCUCUCAUGGAUAAACAAGUAGCUGCUCUCCCCUGCUAGAAUAUCCAAACAAGUACUCAAGAGACAAAAAUACAUGCUGUCGGGCACGGUGGUGUUUAAUUGUAAUCCUAGUUCUCAGAAGGCUGAGGCAGGAGGAUCACUG